rnacentral:rRNA from 1 species
AGGACGAACGCUGGCGGCGUGCUUAACACAUGCAAGUCGAGCGGAAAGGCCCUUCGGGGUACUCGAGCGGCGAACGGGUGAGUAACACGUGAGCAAUCUGCCCUUAGCUUCGGGAUAGCCCCGGGAAACCGGGAUUAAUACCGAAUAUGACCUCGGCCGACAUCGGCUUUGGUGGAAAGUUUUUCGGCUAGGGAUGAACUCGCGGCCUAUCAGCUUGUUGGUGGGGUAAUGGCCUACCAAGGCGACGACGGGUAGCCGGCCUGAGAGGGCGACCGGCCACACUGGGACUGAGACACGGCCCAGACUCCUACGGGAGGCAGCAGUGGGAAUAUUGCGCAAUGGGCGAAAGCCUGACGCAGCGACGCCGCGUGGGGGAUGAAGGCCUUCGGGUUGUAAACCCCUUUCAGCAGGGACGAAGCGAGAGUGACGGUACCUGCAGAAGAAGCGCCGGCUAACUACGUGCCAGCAGCCGC